GGAUUAGGCAUGCAAGUCGAACGGAGGUAGGGGCAACUCUACUUCAGUGGCGGACGGGUGAGGAAUGCGUCGGAAUCUACCCUAUGGUGGGGGAUAACACAGGGAAACUUGUGCUAAUACCGCAUGAUGUCGAGAGACCAAAGCAGGGGACCGCAAGGCCUUGCGCGAUAGGAUGAGCCGACGCCCGAUUAGCUAGUUGGUAGGGUAAUGGCCUACCAAGGCGACGAUCGGUAGCUGGUCUGAGAGGAUGAUCAGCCACACUGGGACUGAGACACGGCCCAGACUCCUACGGGAGGCAGCAGUGGGGAAUAUUGGACAAUGGGCGAAAGCCUGACCGAGCGACGCCGCGUGAGGGAUUGAAGGCCUUCGGGUUGUAAACCUCUUUCGUAGAGGAGGAAGGGGCCGUGAAGAACGGUCUUUGACCUAUUCUAGGAAGAAGCUUGGGCUAAGUUCGUGCCAGCAGCCGCGGUAAUA
rnacentral:rRNA from 1 species